AUUGAACGCUGGCGGCAGGCUUAACACAUGCAAGUCGAGCGGGGAAAUAUAGCUUGCUAUAUGACCUAGCGGCGGACGGGUGAGAAUGCUUAGGAAUCUGCCUAUUAGUGGGGGACAACACCCCGAAGGGGGUGCUAAUACCGCAUCCCCCCUACGGGGGAAAGCAGGGGACCAUUUGACCUUGCCCAAAUAGAUGAGCCUAGUCCGGAUUAGCUGGUUGGUGGGGUAAGGGCCUACCAAGGCGCCGAUCUGUAGCGGGUCUGGGAGGAUGAUCCGCCACACUGGGACUGAGACACGGCCCAGACUCCUACGGGAGGCAGCAGUGGGGAAUAUUGGACAAUGGGGGGAACCCUGAUCCAGCCAUGCCGCGUGUGUGAAGAAGGCCUUUUGGUUGUAAAGCACUUUAAGCGAGGAGGAGGCUCUUGUAGAUAAUACCUACAGUGAGUGGACGUUACUCGCAGAAUAAGCACCGGCUAACUCUGUGCCAGCCGCCGCGGUAA
rnacentral:rRNA from 1 species